AAAAUGUACAGCGAUGAGUUUUAACGUCCAACUUUGAUCAUCCGUCUUAUUUGAAAUUUUUUUAUAAUUAGCAAUUUUCUAGUUAUAAGAUGAUAAAACAUGAAUACUACUUUACUCGUGAAUUAUGUUUUUAAUUUUUUUUAAAAAAAAUUCAAAUAAAACAAGUUGUUAAAGUUGAACGCGGAAAACCAUGGCUGCACUUAUU
rfam:Oryza barthii chromosome 3, whole genome shotgun sequence.